GAUGAACGCUGGCGGCGUGCCUAAUACAUGCAAGUCGAGCGAAUGGAUUAAGAGCUUGCUCUUAUGAAGUUAGCGGCGGACGGGUGAGUAACACGUGGGUAACCUGCCCAUAAGACUGGGAUAACUCCGGGAAACCGGGGCUAAUACCGGAUAACAUUUUGAACCGCAUGGUUCGAAAUUGAAAGGCGGCUUCGGCUGUCACUUAUGGAUGGACCCGCGUCGCAUUAGCUAGUUGGUGAGGUAACGGCUCACCAAGGCAACGAUGCGUAGCCGACCGGAGAAGGGGAGCGGCCAAACUGGGACUGAGACACGGCCCAGACUCCUGCGGGAGGAAGCAGUAGGGAAUCUUCCGCAAUGGACGAAAGUCUGACGGAGCAACGCCGCGUGAGUGAUGAAGGCUUUCGGGUCGUAAAACUCUGUUGUUAGGGAAGAACAAGUGCUAGUUGAAUAAGCUGGCACCUUGACGGUACCUAACCAGAAAGCCACGGCUAACUACGUGCCAGCCGCCGCGGUAA
rnacentral:rRNA from 1 species